GUAGUUGUUCAGUUCAUGUCUUAGUGGU
rnacentral:piRNA from 1 species